AACGAACGCUGGCGGCAGGCUUAACACAUGCAAGUCGAGCGCCCCGCCAGGGUAGCGGCAGACGGGUGAGUAACGCGUGGGGACGUACCUGUUGGUUCGGAACAACUCCGGGAAACUGGAGCUAAUACCGGAUAAGCCCUAACGGGGAAAGAUUUAUCGCCGAAAGAUCGGCCCGCGUCUGAUUAGCUAGUUGGUGAGGUAACGGCUCACCAAGGCGACGAUCAGUAGCUGGUCUGAGAGGAGGCGCAGCCACACUGGGACUGAGACACGGCCCAGACUCCUACGGGAGGCAGCGGUGGGUAAUAUAGGACAAUGGGCGCAAGCCUGCUCCAGCCCUGCCGGGUGGGUGAUGAAGGCCUUAGGGUCGUAAAGCUCUUUUGUCCGGGAAGAUAAUGACUGUACCGGAAGAAUAAGCACCGGCUAACUUCGUG
rnacentral:rRNA from 1 species